AUGAAUGAAGACUAUAAUUUGGAACAUGGCUCCAUCAUCACCUAGGCAUGUAGGGAAGAUGCCCUGGUCCUUACCAAGCAAGGCCUGGUUUCCAAAGUCUCCUCCUAAGAGCCUUCAUGUUUGUCACAUCUUACAAGACCCCUUUCUGCCGUUCUUGCACCCAGCAUGUUGGCCAGUCAAGUUCCCUGACUGAGCUCUCCACACAUAAGGAGGAAGCCAACACCACUGCUAAAUCAGAUCAUUUCCAGGGUCUCCAGUAUCAGUUAUAUCAGAUCCCAGGAACUUACCUGCUCCCAAGGUGACAGAGGAAGAUCAAGGAAGGAUCUGUAUGGUCACUGACCUGGAUGAAACCCUUGUGCAUAGCUCCUUUAAGCCAAUCAGCAAUGCUGACUCCCUAGUGCCUGUAGAGAUUGAGGGGACCACUCACCAUAUCCACGUGCUGAAGAGGCCUUAUGUGGGUAAGUUCCUUAGAUGGGUAAGUUCCUGAGAUGAAUGGAGGAACUCUUUAAAUGUGUUCUCUUCAUUCCAACCUGGAUAAGUAUGCAGAUCCUGUGACAGGUCCGCUGGACUGGUGUGGGGUGUUCUGGGGCUGCCUAUCCCAUGAGUCGUGUUUGUUCCACCAGGGCUGCUAUGUCAAGGACCUCAGCCAACUGGGGAGGGACCUGAAGAAAACUCUCAUCCUGGACAACUCGCCUGCUUCUUACAUCUUCCACCCAGAGAAUGCAGUGCCUGUGCAGUCCUGGUUUGAUAACACGACUGAUAUCAACUGCUGAACCUGUCAUCAAUCUUUGAGAAGGUGAGUGGAGCAGAGAGCAUCUACAUUAGCCUUGUACAGCAGUGGGCCCUAAGCCUUCCCUGCUUCCCAGCAGUGACCAUCACAAUGGGGGACUUUCACACACUAUGCCUUUAUGAUCAGCCUGACAGAGUGGAAGAUGGAGCACCUAGCCUCAUGGGCAUGGAAAGAAUGAGAAGUGAUUGAAAAGAGCUUUAGGACAGCUUAGAUGCUGAGUGGGUGAAUGUCAGACCAAGGAUGCCCAGAGCUACCUGCCAACAAAUUGUUGGGUUCCCGAGAUGUGUGUGAGAGAGAAAGAAAGAGAGCAUGCGUGUUUUGCCAUGAACUGUGGCCCCACAUGUAGAGUGUUUCAGUGGGGGAGAAACGGCAAGACCAAGACUUUUCUCAAGUUAGCUUGUCUCCUCUCCUGUCACCCUACGAGCCACUGAGUUCCAAAGGGAUGACUAUUGAACACUCCAUUGCAAAUCUGGUCUUUCCUCAGUGUUGCAAGGCCUAUGCCAAGGAGAAAGGAAGGGUAUGCCUUUUGGUGUUCCAGGCACACAUCUUUCUGAAAUAUUUCUCCAGCCAGUUGUUGCAGACAAAAGUUGACAUUUCAGGGAAGAUGGAGACUUAUGUCCAGGCCAGUACUCAAGUCAUCAAGUCUUGUGGCCCAAAGGCUAUGCUUACUUACCUCCAGCCAAGUGCCAGAGAUGGAUCAUUUCUGCAUCUCCCCAA